rnacentral:rRNA from 1 species
AUUGAACGCUGGCGGCAGGCCUAACACAUGCAAGUCGAGCGGUGGAGAGAAGCUUGCUUCUCUUGAGAGCGGCGGACAGGUGAGUAAUGCCUAGGAAUCUGCCUGGUAGUGGGGGAUAACGUUCGGAAACGGACGCUAAUACCGCAUACGUCCUACGGGAGAAAGCAGGGGACCUUCGGGCCUUGCGCUAUCAGAUGAGCCUAGGUCGGAUUAGCUAGUUGGUGGGGUAAUGGCUCACCAAGGCGACGAUCCGUAACUGGUCUGAGAGGAUGAUCAGUCACACUGGAACUGAGACACGGUCCAGAAUCCUACGGGAGGCAGCAGUGGGGAAUAUUGGACAAUGGGCGAAAGCCUGAUCCAGCCAUGCCGCGUGUGUGAAGAAGGUCUUCGGAUUGUAAAGCACUUUAAGUUGGGAGGAAGGGCAGUAAAUUAAUACUUUGCUGUUUUGACGUUACCGACAGAAUAAGCACCGGCUAACUCUGUGCCAGCCGCCGCCGUAA